rnacentral:rRNA from 1 species
UACGGAGGGUGCAAGCGUUAUCCGGAUUUACUGGGUUUAAAGGGUGCGUAGGUGGGUAGGUAAGUCAGUGGUGAAAUCUUCAAGCUUAACUUGGAAACUGCCAUUGAUACUAUUUAUCUUGAAUACUUUGGAGGUAAGCGGAAUAUGUCAUGUAGCGGUGAAAUGCUUAGAUAUGACAUAGAACACCAAUUGCGAAGGCAGCUUACUACGGAUACAUUUGACACUGAGGCACGAAAGCGUGGG